UUGGAUGUUGCCGUUUUGUCACGGCUCGUCUUAAAUGCCUGAGUGUACCUUGCUUUGCAGCGUAUCCGGUGUAAUAAACAUUUCACCAGAGUUGGUCGCAAGACCGCGUUUUGUAUCGUGAGCUCUGUGCUUCGAACCGUCUUUGGACAAUCUUUUGACAAUUUGACCUCAAAUCGGGUGGGACUACCCGCUGAACUUAA
rnacentral:misc_RNA from 1 species